rnacentral:rRNA from 1 species
AUUUUAUACAAUGGGGGAAACCCUGAUCCAGCCAUCCCGCGUGUAUGAUGAAGGCNUUNNGGUUGNGNAGUACUUUUGGCAGANNNNNAAAGGUAUCCCCUAAUACGGGAUACUGCUGACGGUAUCUGCAGAAUAAGCACCGGCUAACUACGUGCCAGCCGCCGCGGUAAUACGUAGGGUGCAAGCGUUAAUCGGAAUUACUGGGCGUAAAGCGUGUGUAGGCGGUUCGGAAAGAAAGAUGUGAAAGCCCAGGGCUCAACCUUGGAACUGCAUUUUUAACUGCCGAGCUAGAGUAUGUCAGAGGGGGGUAGAAUUCCACGUGUAGCAGUGAAAUGCGUAGAUAUGUGGAGGAAUACCGAUGGCGAAGGCAGCCCCCUGGGAUAAUACUGACGCUCAGACACGAAAGCGUGGGGAGCAAACAGG